UUUUCUUCUGUGUUUGGUUUUAUUGCUUCUAUAACUUCUCAGAUGGCAGUCUCCUUGACUGAUUAUCUUCUUCUUGUGGCCCAGCAGGACGACAGGACCCCGACUUGGCUUGGGAGUGAGCUGGAGUGAGGGGUGAAGCAACACCUCCUUCUAGCGGGGACGCAGACUCGAGCGGUUGCGAAAACUCUCAGAUCCCACUGCUGGCACCAUGUCCUCAGAAGCCAGUGAGCUCUGCCCAGAGAGCAAAAUCCUUCUUGAGGAUGUCACUGAGUCUUUUCAGAGCACAGUGAGCUUCGAGGAACUGCACUUCCUGCUGACUGACCGUGAAGCCUGGGAGAGAUUUGUGGCUCAGGCCACGUUGUCCAGAAGAUUGCCGAGAAGAGACAGGGGCUAAGGGUCUUCUUCCUAGAGAUGAGGGCCAAGCAGGACUUCUGGGACAAGUCAGAAGAACACUGACACCUCAGUCUGUGCCCCUGGGGAUUCGGACUAGAGUCUUCCCUAAGGAGUUAUAUGAACGUGCAGGAUCCUGCUGACCCAUGAGGUGGAGACGCUAGAGUGGAAUUGGACCGAGCUGGGUUGGAUCCUGACUCUAUCUCUGUCCAGCCCUGGGGCUCUCUGGCUCUGUAUGUCUUGGAGUCUCAGAUCUGUCAUUUGUUCAAUGGACACAGUAAUCCAAUCUGAUAAGAUUGUGGCGAAGGACUUUGUGUGAAUUGUGAGGUCAAAGGUGAGGAACCAAGUGCAGUCAUCCUGUCCAAAGGCCCAGGAGGCUUGGACCAGGGCCAGAGCUGGUGAUCAGGAUGGACAAAGGGGUGUGGGGUCUAGGUUGGAGGACUAGGUAGGCUUGGACAGCAGGGCUGGAACUGAGUGAAGCUCUAGAGCACAAAACUUGAGGAGACCAGGGACCUAGCAGAGGUCCUGUGAGAGGGAGAGGGCACAUUUCUUCCCUCCCUUCUUUGAUUUCCUCACUGCUGGGCAUCAGGGUCCAUGGGGGGUGUUUCUUCCAUACCUUGCCUUGGAGCUGGGGGGGUCGUGACUACCAUUUGGAAGCCUCUUCUCUUCUACCUAGAGCAGCCCCAGACCAAUAGGAGGCAGUGUGGCUUUGUGACAGCUUCCAGCUCCACAGGGGGCAGCUGCCAAUUCUGUACUCUUUGGGGGAUUCUGAGCCUCAGAAGUCCCCACCAAAGAGGAAAGUACUUCUUGCACCAGCUUGCCCGAAUGCAGGUCUUUUCCGGCUUAGUGAUUCAUAUAGAAGGUUGUCAAAGUCUCUUGCAUCUUUAAGAGAUGUCAUAAAGUUGCACAUGGCCUUGGUGUACCAGCUAAGGUGUGAGUUAAGCUGGUGACACCCGUGAGGUCGGGGGUGCUGGGCGGUGGCUCGGGAGUCAGUUUCGUGAACUGGAGAGUCUGAGGGGAACGAGGGUAGUGGGUGUCCCGCUUCUCAGUCAGUUGGGGCAGGGCCUGGUCCCCAGCAGAGGACAUGAGGCUUGGGAGAGAGAGCAGGUGCCAAGCAAAAUGAUCAUUAAGGUCCCUUCUCGCUCUGAGGUUUUGUUUUCUUAAAUUCCAAGUACCCAGAGUUAACCAAACUGCAAAGUCUGAGAGCACAAUCCCUAAGACUGCCCUUACUUUUGGCACCAACUGCAAAUUGGGGGGGCGGUCCCCAAACUACCCUGAGAUUGGAUGAUGCCCUGGAAGCACUCAUAGAGCUCACUCAGAGCUGUCACUCUCAGUCACCCUGUGAUACAGGGAAGGAUACAGGUUCCCAUCAGCCAAAGAGAGAGACACUUGGGGCAGAGUCUGGGAGGGUUUCCAGUGCAAAGCUUGGUUGUCCUUGGGAGGCCUUACUGUCCUGUGUUCAGUGUGUGACAAUGCACGUGGAGCAUUGUCCACCAGGGAAGUUCACACUGUGAAAGUAAACAAUUAUUGUGACACUUACUAAUAUGGUAAAGAAGACUUAAUUCAUGCCCUAGGCGUCGAGAGUGAUGUCAUCGGGGAGAGAGAUCGGGCUCACCUCGGAAUACAGCGAAGACAGCUAAGGAUUUAUAGCCAAGGAGCAGGAUGGGGGCAGGGUAUGGGAAAUCACUAAGAGGAGACAUCAAGGUGGGGGAUUCUUGCUAACCUGACCCAGUAGUGUUCUUCCUGAAGGCAGGCAAGGACUUCUGCAUCAAAGGUGGGAUUUGAUCAGAUGUCAAAGGUGAUUAGAUAUCAAGAGUGCGUGGAUUCUCACUAAGCUGACCUAACAGGGUUCUUGCUAAGACUGGGCAUGACAGGCUGCCAAGGACAGAGCACAGAAGACCAAGGUCAAGGCCUAGUCAAGAGGAGUGUCAGAGAGCCCGAAUAACGUUUGGUCAAGGAGAGAGUCUUUUUCAACCCCGUCCUCAGAGUACAGAGUUUUAUUGGGGCUCAAUCACCUCCUCCCUGCAUGGCUGACUUGUCGUCUUCAGCUCCCCUGGAGGUUAGUUUCUAGUUCCUCUGUAGGUCAGAACUGACAGCACAUGACCCAAAGCCCCCCUCGUCUUGUCAGGUUGUCCAGUGAGUGGCCAAAGGCCCAGGCAAAGGAAGACAGUCUUAUUGUUCUAGGACCCUUGACAUCCUAGGUGGGGGCCUAGAGAUCAUUUCCCAGUGCUAAGGGCAAAGGGCACACCUCUCUGUGGGUAAGGUUCAUCCUUCAGUACACACGAAGAUUCCCCGAAUGAAGGUUUUUCUGCUCCAACCCCACUUCCCUUUGUUCAUCUACUGAGUUCCCAGUCUACACACACUGUGGUACCGACCGUGUUGACCUGGGAAGCCAUCUUUAUCAGAUACCCACCAUUUAAGUGCAUCUUAAGAUGAAAUGGACUUAUUUAUUCCCUGACUGUGUGUAUGGAACAUUAGCAAUGUACAGAAUGUGUUUAACAUUGCAAGAAAAAUUCUUUACAUUUGUAAAAUUCUUUUCCCUUUGAUUUGUAGUAAACGUUCUGUGGUUUAUGUGGGAUAGAUCGAAUGAAGCCCACUUUACAGAUAA